ensembl:lncRNA
AGGAUACGCUGGACAAGGCAGUACUUAAGGCCAAGUUAUUUCACAGUCUGGGAGCUCUUUCUGGCUGGAAUUGUAUGAUUGUGAAGACAUCGCGAACCUUAAAGGUUGAGAAGUGAACGGAUUAUACGGCGAACUGAGACGACGUGAAAAAGGGGAUUGGAAGCGGCAUUGAUGUGAGUACUAAGAGCCAGUCGAAAGUGCCCUGUAUAUUGACCUGGCGUUGUGUAGAUCUCUCCAGGAGGAGGAGGGCGGCCCUACCCCUAAUAUAGCGUGGUGGGAGAGCCGAAGGAAUACUUAUUGAAGUAGUCACAACGACGACAUCACUAGCUAGGCCGCAUAUUCCAUCGCCAGAUCCGAACCAAGCGAAGUGAAGGAAGACGGGUGUCCUUUUCGUACACUGAGUGUGGUGGGUGAGUCUUCGUGCUGUGAAAACCUAUAAUUUUGACGUGGUGUUGUAUAUUGCUGUGGGCUGCUGUGUAUUGCCGUGUGUCCUGUCAGAUAAACCCCCGCCUUCACGCACUUCGUCGCGGGAGGACAAGGAGACUGCUGGUCCUAGCCUAGUUCAGUACAGUAUAUGUUGUGAGCGUGCUUCAGAUCUCCGGAGAUAGCACGGUACGCUGUGUCCAGCCCAGAGGUGAAAGCCAUCCAAAGCAAACUAACUGUGCUAUUGUGCCCAAGUUGAUACCUGUGGAGAGGAAAGGAAAGAGAGAGUGAGUAACACAAGGAGAAACAGAGGAAACCUGUACUUACAGUACGCUGUGUCCAGCCCAGAGGUGAAAGCCAUCCAAAGCAGAGUAACUGUGCUUUGCGUCCAAGUUGAUACCUGUGGAGAGGAAAGGAAAGAGAGAUUGAUACCUGUGGAGAGAAAAGGAGAGAGAGUGAAUAACACGAGGAGGAAUAGAGCGAACCCUGUACUUACAGUACGCUGUGUCCAGCCCAGAGGUGAAAGCCAUCCAAAGCAGAGUAACUGUGCUUUGCGUCCAAGUUGAUACCUGUGGAGAGAAAAGGAGAGAGAGGGAAUAACACGGAAGACAGCAGAUAGUAUCUGUUAGCGUUC